CCUCCCUUUCUUCACCGAUAGCUCCUUGCUACCGUGUCGCCGGACAAAAACCAGAGUCCAGAAAUGUUUUUCCUCCUCGACUACCCACCCCACGCCCACAAAAAACCAAAACCCACCACCCUACAGCCACGUCCAAACACAAACUAAAAUCAUCAAAAUUAUAUUCUUUGCAAUUGGAAAAGAGUUGAAUUGAAAAAAGGAAAGUGGUGGAUGGCGAGGUAAGUGACGAUUAAGAGGUGAAUUUCAUUUGUAAUAGCAGCAAAAUAGUGGUGGAUUGUAAUGUUUCUAUGUCUAGCAAGAUAGAUAAAGCGGGUGGUUGAAUUUUUUGGGUUCGGAUUGUGGUUGAUUGCAAUGGCAGACGAUAGUGGUAGUGGAUUGUGGUUUGAAUUUUCUAUGUUUGGGCGGUUGAUUCUUGGAUAGCUGAUGGUGGUGAAUAUGUGGUGUUGUGUUACUUAUGUAGGUUGGCGGUCGACGAGGGAGGCCAGCAACAAGUUGAGUUUACCAGAGGUAUAGUGUAGUUGGGUGUCGAUCGAUGUUGGUUUAGGUCUAUCGAUUAUUUUGGUAGAGGACGUCCAUGGUGGCGACGUCGGAGUCUGGGUAUGAUAGUGGUGGU
rnacentral:lncRNA from 1 species